UACGGAGACUGCGAGCGUUACUCGGAUUUACUGGGCGUAAAGGGUAUGUAGGCUGUAGUGUGUGUCGGAUGUGAAAUCCCGGAGCUUAACUCCGGAACGGCGUCCGAAACUGCACUUCUAGAGUCUUGGAGGGGGUAGUGGAAUUCUCAAUGUAGCGGUGAAAUGCGUAGAUAUUGAGAGGAACACCGAUGGCGAAGGCAGCUACCUAGACAAGUACUGACGCUGAAAUACGAAAGCGUGGGGAGCAAAAGGG
rnacentral:rRNA from 1 species